rnacentral:ncRNA from 50 species
GUAGGUGAACCUGCGGAAGGAUCAUU